UACGAAGGGGGCUAGCGUUGCUCGGAAUCACUGGGCGUAAAUGGUGCGUAGGCGGGUCUUUAAGUCAGGGGUGAAAUCCUGGAGCUCAACUCCAGAACUGCCUUUGAUACUGAGGAUCUUGAGUUCGGGAGAGGUGAGUGGAACUGCGAGUGUAGAGGUGAAAUUCGUAGAUAUUCGCAAGAACACCAGUGGCGAAGGCGGCUCACUGGCCCGAUACUGACGCUGAGGCACGAAAGCGUGGGGAGCAAACAGG
rnacentral:rRNA from 1 species